rnacentral:rRNA from 1 species
CCGCAGAAGAAGCACCGGCUAACUCCGUGCCAUCAGCCGAGGUAAUACGGAGGGUGCAAGCGUUAAUCGGAAUUACUGGGAGUAAAGCGCACGCAGGCGGUCUGUCAAGUCGGAUGUGAAAUCCCCGGGCUCAACCUGGGAACUGCAUUCGAAACUUGCAGGCUCGAGUCUAGAAGAGGGGGGUAGAAUUCCUGGUGAUGCGUUGGACUCCGUUGUGCGCUGGUGGCUCA